rnacentral:ncRNA from 1 species
ACGAGGUCGCAGAGCACGCGACCCCGGACGAGGGAUCAGUACCCGGAGCGCGACAAGACUGGCCACA